rnacentral:rRNA from 1 species
UACGGGGGGGGCAAGCGUUGUUCGGAAUUACUGGGCGUAAAGGGCUCGUAGGCGGCCAACUAAGUCAUACGUGAAAUCCCUCGGCUUAACCGGGGAACUGCGUCUGAUACUGGAUGGCUUGAGUUCGGGAGAGGGAUGCGGAAUUCCAGGUGUAGCGGUGAAAUGCGCAGAUAUCUGGAGGAACACCGGUGGCGAAGGCGGCAUCCUGGAUCGAUACUGACGCUGAGGAGCGAAAGCCAGGGGAGCAAACGGG